AUUGAACGCUGGCGGCAUGCCUUACACAUGCAAGUCGAACGGCAGCGCGGGAGCAAUCCUGGCGGCGAGUGGCGAACGGGUGAGUAAUAUAUCGGAACGUGCCCAGUAGUGGGGGAUAGCCCGGCGAAGGCCGGAUUAAUACCGCAUACGACCUACAGGUGAAAGGGGGGGAUCGCAAGACCUCUCGCUAUUGGAGCGGCCGAUAUCAGAUUAGGUAGUUGGUGGGGUAAAGGCCCACCAAGCCUACGAUCUGUAGUUGGUCUGAGAGGACGACCAGCCACACUGGGACUGAGACACGGCCCAGACUCCUACGGGAGGCAGCAGUGGGGAAUUUUGGACAAUGGGGGCAACCAUGAUCCAGCAAUGCCGCGUGCAGGAAGAAGGCCUUCGGGUUGUAAACUGCUUUUGUCAGGGAAGAAAUCCCUUGGGUUAAUACCUCGGGGGGAUGACGGUACCUGAAGAAUAAGCACCGGCUAACUACGUGCCAGCCGCCGCCGUAACAC
rnacentral:rRNA from 1 species